rnacentral:rRNA from 1 species
CGGUGUUCAACUGGCGUGCCCGCGGGACGUCCUGCCGGUGAGCUCAGCCCGCGAGGGCGGCUCAACUUGAAAUCCCAUCGCGGUGCUCUUCAUUGAGUGUCGAGGUGGGCCGGCACGAUUACUUUUGAACAAAUUAGAGUGCUUAAAGCAGGCUAAAAUUUUGCCUGAAUACUGUGUAUAUGGAAUAAUGGAAUAGGACCUCGGUUCUAUUUUGUUGGUUUUCGGAACCCCGAGGUAAUGAUUAAUAGGAACGGAUGGGGGCAUUCGUAUUGCGACGUUAGAGGUGAAAUUCUUGGAUCGUCGCAAGACGGACUAAAGCGAAAGCAUUUGCCAAAAACGCUUUCAUUGAUCAAGAACGAAAGUUAGAGGUUCGAAGGCGAUCAGAUACCGCCCUAGUUCUAACCAUAAACUAUGCCAGCUAGCGAUCCGCCGACGUCCCUCUGAUGACUCGGCGGGCAGCUUCCGGGAAACCAAAGCUUUUGGGUUCCGGGGGAAGUAUGGUUGCAAAGCUGAAACUUAAAGGAAUUGACGGAAGGGCACCACCAGGAGUGGAGCCUGCGGCUUAAUUUGACUCAACACGGGAAACCUCACCAGGCCCAGACACUGGAAGGAUUGACAGAUUGAGAGCUCUUUCUUGAUUCAGUGGGUGGUGGUGCAUGGCCGUUCUUAGUCGGUGGAGCGAUUUGUCAGGUUAAUUCCGAUAACGGACGAGACUCUGACCUGAUAACUAGACGCACUUGCGGUAUCUCAAAGGUCCGCCGGCGGCUGGCUUUGCGCCCGUCGUCGCGCGCGAUUUUUACUGCCGGCGUACAAUAAAUUCUUCUUAGAGGGACAAGUGG